UACGGAGGGUGCAAGCGUUGUUCGGAAUUACUGGGCGUAAAGAGCGUGUAGGCGGUAUGGUAAGUCAGAUGUGAAAGCCCUGGGCUCAACCCAGGAAGUGCAUUUGAUACUGCUAUUCUUGAGUAUGGGAGAGGAGAGUGGAAUUCCCGGUGUAGAGGUGAAAUUCGUAGAUAUUGGGAGGAACAUCCGUGGCGAAGGCGACUCUCUGGACCAAUACUGACGCUGAGACGCGAAAGCGUGGGGAGCAAACAGGAUUAGAUACCCGCGUA
rnacentral:rRNA from 1 species